rnacentral:rRNA from 1 species
GAUGAACGCUGGCGGCGUGCCUAAUACAUGCAAGUCGAGCGAACAGAUAAGGAGCUUGCUCCUUUGACGUUAGCGGCGGACGGGUGAGUAACACGUGGGUAACCUACCUAUAAGACUGGAAUAACUCCGGGAAACCGGGGCUAAUGCCGGAUAACAUUUAGAACCGCAUGGUUCUAAAGUGAAAGAUGGUUUUGCUAUCACUUAUAGAUGGACCCGCGCCGUAUUAGCUAGUUGGUAAGGUAACGGCUUACCAAGGCAACGAUACGUAGCCGACCUGAGAGGGUGAUCGGCCACACUGGAACUGAGACACGGUCCAGACUCCUACGGGAGGCAGCAGUAGGGAAUCUUCCGCAAUAGGCGAAAGCCUGACGGAGCAACGCCGCGUGAGUGAUGAAGGUCUUCGGAUCUUAAAACUCUGUUAUUAGGGAAGAACAAAUGUGUAAGUAACUGUGCACGUCUUGACGGUACCUAAUCAGAAAGCCACGGCUAACUACGUG